GCCAGGCGCGGUGGCACGUGCCUGUAAUCCCAGCUACUCAGGAGGCUGAGGUGGGAGGAUCACUUGAGCCCGGGAGUUCUGGGCUGUAGUGCACUAUGCCGAUUGGUUGUCCGCACUAAGUUUGGCAUCAAUAUGGUGACCUCUCGGGAGUAGGGGACCACCAGAUUGCCUAAGGAGGGGUGAAUCGGACCAUGUCAGAAACAGAGCAGGUCAAAACUCUCAUGCUGAUCAGUAGUGGGAUCGCACCUGUGAAUAGCCACUGCACUCCAGCCUGGGCAACAUAGAGACCCUGUCUCA
rnacentral:SRP_RNA from 1 species